rnacentral:rRNA from 1 species
AGAACGAACGCUGGCGGCAUGCCUAACACAUGCAAGUCGAACGAGACCUUCGGGUCUAGUGGCGCACGGGUGCGUAACGCGUGGGAAUCUGCCCUUCGGUUCGGAAUAACAGUUAGAAAUGACUGCUAAUACCGGAUAAUGACGUAAGUCCAAAGAUUUAUCGCCGAAGGAUGAGCCCGCGUAAGAUUAGCUUGUUGGUGGGGUAAAGGCUCACCAAGGCUACGAUCUUUAGCUGGUCUGAGAGGAUGAUCAGCCACACUGGGACUGAGACACGGCCCAGACUCCUACGGGAGCAGCAGUGGGGAAUAUUGGUCAAUGGGCGAAAGCCUGAACCAGCCAUGCCGCGUGAGUGAAGAGGCCUUAGGGUGUAAAGCUCUUUCAGCGGGGACGAUAAUGACGGUACCCGCAGAAGAACGCCCGGACUAACUCGUACCAGCAGCCGC